AGUGAACGCUGGCGGUAGGCCUAACACAUGCAAGUCGAACGGCAGCACAGUAAGAGCUUGCUCUUACGGGUGGCGAGUGGCGGACGGGUGAGGAAUACAUCGGAAUCUACUUUUUCGUGGGGGAUAACGUAGGGAAACUUACGCUAAUACCGCAUACGACCUACGGGUGAAAGCAGGGGAUCUUCGGACCUUGCGCGAUUGAAUGAGCCGAUGUCGGAUUAGCUAGUUGGCGGGGGAAAGGCCCACCAAGGCGACGAUCCGUAGCUGGUCUGAGAGGAUGAUCGGCCACACUGGAACUGAGACACGGUCCAGACUCCUACGGGAGGCAGCAGUGGGGAAUAUUGGACAAUGGGCGCAAGCCUGAUCCAGCCAUACCGCGUGGGUGAAGAAGGCCUUCGGGUUGUAAAGCCCUUUUGUUGGGAAAGAAAAGCAGCAGGUUAAUACCCCGCUGUUCUGACGGUACCCAAAGAAUAAGCACCGGCUAACUUCGUG
rnacentral:rRNA from 1 species